rnacentral:rRNA from 1 species
UACGGGGGGGCAAGCGUUGUUCGGAAUUACUGGGCGUAAAGGGCUCGUAGGCGGCCAACUAAGUCAGACGUGAAAUCCCUCGGCUUAACCGGGGAACUGCGUCUGAUACUGGAUGGCUUGAGUGUGGGAGAGGGAUGCGGAAUUCCAGGUGUAGCGGUGAAAUGCGUAGAUAUCUGGAGGAACACCGGUGGCGAAGGCGGCAUCCUGGACCAUUACUGACGCUGAGUGAGCGAAAGCCAGGGGAGCAAACGGG